rnacentral:tRNA from 1 species
GCCCGCGUGCGCAGAAUGGUAUUGCACCUGGUUUGAGCCCAGGGCCUUUAUGGCACCCAGGUUCGAUUCCUGGCGCGGGCG